rnacentral:rRNA from 1 species
UACGUAGGGGGCUAGCGUUGUCCGGAAUCAUUGGGCGUAAAGAGCGUGUAGGCGGCCCGGUAAGUCCGCUGUGAAAGUCGGGGGCUCAACCCUCGAAUGCCGGUGGAUACUGUCGGGCUAGAGUGCGGAAGAGGCGAGUGGAAUUCCUGGUGUAGCGGUGAAAUGCGCAGAUAUCAGGAGGAACACCGGUGGCGAAGGCGGAUCUCUGGGCCUUACCUGACGCUCGAGGUGCGAAAGCUAGGGGAGCGAACAGG